AGUUAGACCUUGCAAGGAAUUCCCCUUGCCAAGGUUUCCUUAGUUUUCUUGCUCUUUGCGGCAUCCUCCACUACGUCAGGGCAAUCAGUGACGAGUUUUGAGUGAUUGGAAGGGUAGAGUUGAGGGUUUCUCCAUUGGUCUACCUUUUGGUUUGCAUUAGAUUUUCAAGCGUGAAUGGAUGUUGGAGUUUUCCAAUAUUUAGGGACAUGGAUUGAAGACCAAAUGCAUUAGAUGAAUCUGAAAUUUUUACAAGGGUAUACCAUAUUUGAAGCUUGCUAAUGAGGAGUUUGUUUGCCAUUGGUAAUGGAUGCAAGAAGUUAAGGAAUCUAAUAUUAAGUCACAAGAUUUUGGAAGCAAUUGCUACCAGAUGCAAGGAACUUCCACAUCUUGAAGUCAAUGGAUGUCACAACAUUCGAGCUUUGGGGCUAGAAUCCAUUGGAAGAUCUUGCCAGAUGGAGAAGGAUGCAAGUUCCUAUAAAGUCUUCAACAAGUGCAGAUGAUUUUGCCACAAGUUGAGGUUAUUACUGCUUGAUUUCAAUGGCUGAUUUAUAUAGCUUUAUUGCAUCAAGUAUCAUUUGUUAUAUGUUAGUACUUUUCCAUUUUAUAUUCUGACCAACUAAUUUUACUUUGUGAAAGUAUCUUUUUCUUCCCAAAAGAUUAAUUCUUUGUUAAUAGUAUAUUUUCCAUUGCUCUCUCUUAAAUCUGCUUUGUUACUUUUUAUCUGUUUUGAAUCUGCUUUGCUAUAGCAUAUGGUUUUCUUAAUUUGUUCUCAAUUUGGCUUAUAUGUCUGUUAUAUGUUUUUGGUUGCUACAACUAUUAGCUAAAUACAUAAGAUUCAGGCAUUCAUGUUUUCAUUUUCUAAAUUUGAUAU